ACGCCCGCUCAAGAACUACGAAAGGAAUUGGACGGGGCCCGCACAAGCGGUGGAGUAUGUGGUUUAAUUCGAUGCAACGCGAAGAACCUUACCUGGUCUUGACAUCCCGGAGACCCUUAGGAAACUAGGGGGUGCUUCCAUCUGGAAGAAUCUGGAGACAGGUGCUGCAUGGCUGUCGUCAGCUCGUGUCGUGAGAUGUUGGGUUAAGUCCCGCAACGAGCGCAACCCUUGCCUUUAGUUGCCAGCAGUUCGGCUGGGCACUCUAAAGGGACUGCCGGUGUUAAACCGGAGGAAGGUGGGGAUGACGUCAAGUCCUCAUGGCCUUUAUGACCAGGGCUACACACGUACUACAAUGGCCGAUACAAAGGGCAGCGACACUGCGAGGUGAAGCCAAUCCCGUAAAAUCGGUCUCAGUCCGGAUUGGAGUCUGCAACUCGACUCCAUGAAGUUGGAAUCGCUAGUAAUCGUGGAUCAGCAUGCCACGGUGAAUACGUUCCCGGGCCUU
rnacentral:rRNA from 1 species